GUCCAUAGAAAAGAAAGAAUGAUCAGAAUGAGUGGAAGGAAAUCAAACACCACCAUGAGAAAGAAAAAAAAGCAAGAUACACUACCAGGAAAACGCAAAAAAAGGGUGACUGGAGACAACGGCAGGAGUUCAAACAUCUCUUGAUGUCAGAAACCAAGACACAAGACUUCACUCCCCCAGCAGAAGACAGAGAUGGUGUCAUAGAUGGUAUGUCUUGCCUAACAUGUCAGGAUUCCAGCAGAUUGAUGAUCAAGGACAGUGAUGAAGACCAGAACAAAAGGGAAAAGAAAAGACUCUAAACAGCCAAAACAUGCAUCUAACACCCGGGCAAUUAAGAAUUGUUAUUUUCUGGCUACUCUACACACACUGCCUAGAAGGUAGCCUUGCUCUAUAGGAGUCAUG
rnacentral:lncRNA from 1 species